GUCAGAUUUGCUCUAAAUGCUUUGGUUUUUGAGUUAUGAGCCAAAAACUGCAUUUUACCGCUAUGUUCUAUUUUUAGCCGUGGCGGCCAUCUUGGUUGGAUGGCCGGGUCACCAGACACAUUUUUUAAACUAGAUACCCCAAAGAUGAUUGUCGCCAAGUUUGGUUAAAUUUGGCCUAGUAGUUUCAGAGGAGAAGAUUUUUGUAAAAGAUUACUAAGAUUUACGAAAAAUGGUUAAAAAUUGACUAUAAAGGGCAAUAACUCCUAAAGGGAUCAAGUGACCAUUUCAGUCAUGUUGACUUAUUUGUAAAUCUUACUUUGCUGAACAUUAUUGCUGUUUACAGUUUAUCUCUAUCUAUAAUAAUAUUCAAGAUAAUAACCAACCAGAUGCUCCGCAGGGCGUAGCUUUAUACGACCGCAGAGGUUGAACCCUGAACGGUUAGGGCAAGUAUGGACACAACAUUCAAGCUGGAUUCAGCUCUAAAUUUGGAUUGUGAUUAAAUAGUUGACACAGCAUAGGUUUCUG
rnacentral:lncRNA from 1 species